rnacentral:rRNA from 1 species
AGGGUGUAAACGCUGCAGACUUGGUGUUGGAAGCCCUUUGGGGGCAUUCAGUGCCGGAGAGAAGUUGUUAAGUCUGCUACUUGGGAGUACGUCCGCAAGGAUGAAACUUAAAGGAAUUGGCGGGGGAGCACCGCAACGGGAGGAGCGUGCGGUUUAAUUGGAUUCAACACCGUAAAACUCACCAGGGAAGACUGUUACAUGAAGGCCGAGAUGAAGACUCUGCUAGAUUUUCAGAGAGGUGGUGCAUGGCGUCAGUGACU